CCUACGGGAGGCAGCAGUGAGGAAUAUUGGUCAAUGGACGAAAGUCUGAACCAGCCAAGUAGCGUGAAGGAUGACUGCCCUAUGGGUUGUACACUUCUUUUGUGCGGGGACAAACUGAGUCACGUGUGGCUUAUUGCAGGUACCGCAAGAAUAAGGAUCGGCUAAAUCCGUGCCAGCAGCCGCGGUAAUACGGCGGGUGCGAGCGUUAUCCGGAUUUAUUGGGUGUAAAGGGAGCGUAGACGGUUGUGCAAGUCCGUGGUGAAAGGUGGGGGCCCAACCCACGGACUGCGCUUGAAACUGUGUAACUGGAGUGCAGGAGAGGUAAGCGGAAUGCGUAGUGUAGCGGUGAAAGGCGUAGAUAUUACGAAGAACACCGAUUGCGAAGGCAGCUUACUGGACUGUAACUGACGUUGAGGCUCGAAAGCGUGGGUAGCGAACAGGAUUAGAUACCCCUGUAGUC
rnacentral:rRNA from 1 species